GCAAUAAUGUGAUUGGCUUUUUUGGGGAAUAAAAAUAGUUUGGUAGUGGAGUAAUAAUGAACCCACUGAACUUUCUGAAUUUCAUCUGAAUUUUCUGUCCCUGUUCAGACAGGAACACAGAUAGAUACGAGCCAUAUCACUGAGCUGGGUCUCUCCUGGUAUGGAAGAUGGGCACAGGGAAGGGACCAGGACAUGGAGGGCUGAGCAAGUGUGUCCACCCCCCCUACAGCACGGCAGCCUGGUCAUCUGCUUCUCCCCAAAUCCACCUGGUGUUCAGCCUGAGUUGUCCUGUGAUUAUUCUUAGUGUACUAAUUUAUAUAAGGUGUGGACCAAGCUGUUUAACCCAAGGUUUUUAGAAACAGGUGCUUGUGGCAGUUUAAGAAUUCCAGGUCUGAGAGUGUGUGCAGGAUGUAUUUGUCAGGUGCUUCAUGCGUAAAGAAUUUUGGCACACCCAAUGUUUAAAUUGGCCACCAGUGCCUUCGUGUUGGGAUUGCCAGCUGCACAGAGAUCUUCACACCAGAGCAUCUUUUAUUUAUGGGUUGGGCUGGUUCUUGUGAAUCAAAAUGAUCAGUUUAUGUUGUGACCUGUGGUAGAUUUAAUUUGCCCUCUAAAUCAAUUAUUCUUGACAUCAGAAGCAGCUUCAUGGUUAAUUAACUUUUCUUUCAUGCUUACAAAAUAAUUUUAUAACGUCAGGUUAAGAUACAGCAGAAGGUUGGAUGCAGGCAGAGUAAAACAGUCCUAGUGUUUCUGCCUGUGUGUCCACAUCUUAAUUCUCUUCGUGAAGUCCAAAUUGACAUUGUUUUCUGAAAGGUUUGCAAAGCAUUACAGCAGUGACAUGCUUUUUCUAGCACAUAUAGUCAUGGAAUAUCAGCACAAGACUUUAACUCCAAUUAAUAGAAGAAUGAGCAACCUGUUGUCUGAAGAAGAUUGUGAACUAAAAAUGACUUAAUGCUAUCAUGCAGAGCAACUUCAGUGCUAUGAAAGACUGCCAUAAUUUCUUUCUAUUGUCUUCCUAUAAUCUUCAGAAUUCUUUUUUUCCUCCUAAAUGAAGUAUUUUUUUUACUGUGUUCAGCAAGAGGGGAAGAUAAACCUUGUAACAGUGUAUGUCUGCAAACCCUCAAACACUUUUUCUUAAAUCUCUCUAUAAAAAAGUAAAUAUUUGACCUAAUUUUUAAGUAGUGUUGAAAAACUUGGCUAAGGGUCAGUGACUCUUGCUUUGUGCUCACUGUACUGAAAUGGCAUAAUGAUCAUGUGUGCUGGUUUCAAUGGAGUUUUUUGUACUUAUCUAUCUUUGCUCUUACAUAUUAACUCUGUAUCUUAGUACUGCAGAUGCAGUCUUGCAAAAAAAAUGGAUUCUACACAGAAGACACAGAAGGCAAAGGGUGGGAGACUGUGGGAUGUCCCACUAAACAGAGUAUAUACUAAUUUAUUUUACUAUUUUGUAUAAGUAGGGUAUUUCGCAUAAAUUAUUUAAUUGCCAUUUUAAUUUAGCCGAAAAAACUUCUCUCGAAGCAUAGUGCCAUCUAAAAUAACAUUUAUUUUUGCUGUUUAAUUAUAACCUUACUGUUAUGGUUUUGCCACAGCUACACUUUAAGGGUGGAGGAAAUAUAUUCUUCAGAAGACAUGAUAUAGCAAUGAUAAUACUGCAAUACAUGUCCUAUACUAUGCUUUCUGAAUUGCCUUAUGAUUUUUCAAUGGCCACUCUUUACAAAGAGCUGUUUCAGGGCUUGCAUUUUCACUUCAGAUCUUCACAAGGAUCACAUGAAAAUUGGAGCAAGUCUGUCUGGUGUUGAGCCAAUGCAAAUAGAUGGUUCAGUGCUCAAAUAUCAGUUUUACAAUUGAUGGGACUUGCAACUAGAACCUUGCAGCAUAUGUUGUCCUUGGGCUAAAAUAAAAUCUCUCUGCUUCUUAUACAGAUAAGCUUCCACGGAAGACUUGCUCUACCAAGUUCAGGGAAAGACAAAAGAAACCAUUACAGAAGUGGAGUGAGCUCCUGCCUAUAGAGUGUCUGUCUUUGGCUGCAGUAUGUGGACAAGACAAAGGCUCCUGAAGUGUUUGUUUUAUCCAGACUGACUUGGAAGGAGGAAAUUGUAACCACAGCCAUUCAUUUAUAUUAAAAAAAAAUACCCUAUUGAAGCAUAAUCAUCUUCAUCAGAACUUGAAUGACCAUACCACUCACAGGUUUUAUGUUCUUAAACUACACGAAAAUUACCAUGUUUCUGCCUGCUUUCAACAUAGGACACAAGGAGAAGAAAGAAUUCAGAUAUUAUACCAUUUCUAGACCCAAAGUAAAACUCUGGCUUUCACAAAUAAGCAUUUCUGCAAAACGAGUUGAGAUGCAUCUGACAGGAAAGACUUAAGAGCACUUUCAAGUUGGAAAGCAGAUUAACACCAACUAUAAAACUAAGUUUGAGCUCAGUAAAUAACAACUUACGUUGCACAAACAGAACUUGAGUUACUACACACAAAGGGCAUUUCGGACCGCUUCCCACAUUCAGCCUGUGGCUGUCAAUAUGCUGCCUGGAGCUAAUGGAUUUUCCCUGCUGCCAGCAAGCGACCUCACAGCACCAAGCCUGCUUGUGUGUACUCAGCACAGCAAUUUGGUUCCAAGGAAUGUUCAGUUUUUUAUCCUCCCAGAAUAUUCCUGUGGAAGAAGAUGAAAAUGUAGUUCAAGGAUGAUAGAAAAAUUGGUCAGAAAAUGAGAGAGUGAUCUUUGUGGCUAAGUCUCCUUCUGGAAAGAAGAGUGUCAUGCCUCCUGAAUAUUCUGACCUAAGAGAGGAGAGUGAAAUGCUGGAUUGCCAAAGAGCUGGAACUUCUGAAGAUGGAGGUUCAAAUUUUAAGUGGAAGGUCAAACAAGUAAUUUAGCUCAUUUUUCUUCCUGAGGAGGGUUACACUGUUCAAGAGGUUUUAGCCUUCUUGAAUUCCAUUGUGUUACUUCUGUGGUGUCUCUCAAACCAGCACAUGGUGUUUCUUGCAUAAUGGUGCUGCCCCUCUAGGUAUGCUGGCCAAAUUUAUGUUUUUCUGCAGCUGCUGGUUUUCUGGUUCUGCAGUUUGUUUUUCAAAUGGUACCUAAUGGAAAAACAAUCCCUGACUUUCUUUUCUUGUAUAUCUUCCCAGUAAUAAGCAGCGUAAGUUAAAAAACCAUACUUCAAGCAGUGUGGACUCAGAGUCACCUA